rnacentral:misc_RNA from 1 species
UCGUAACAAGGUCUCCGUUGGUGAACCAGCGGAGGGAUCAUUACAGAGUUAUCCAACUCCCAAACCCAUGUGAACUUAUCUCUUUGUUGCCUCGGCGCAAGCUACCCGGGACCUCGCGCCCCGGGCGGCCCGCCGGCGGACAAACCAAAACUCUUGUUAUCUUAGUUGAUUAUCUGAGUGUCUUAUUUAAUAAGUCAAAACUUUCAACAACGGAUCUCUUGGUUCUGGCAUCGAUGAAGAACGCAGCGAAAUGCGAUAAGUAAUGUGAAUUGCAGAAUUCAGUGAAUCAUCGAAUCUUUGAACGCACAUUGCGCCCAUUAGUAUUCUAGUGGGCAUGCCUGUUCGAGCGUCAUUUCAACCCCUAAGCACAGCUUAUUGUUGGGAACCUACGGCUUCGUAGUUCCUCAAAGACAUUGGCGGAGUGGCAGUGGUCCUCUGAGCGUAGUAAUCUUUUAUCUCGCUUCUGUUAGGUGCUGCCCCCCCGGCCGUAAAACCCCCAAUUUUUUCUGGUUGACCUCGGAUCAGGUAGGAAUACCCGCUGAACUUAAGCAUAUCAAUAA